AUAUAUAUAUACGCCGUUUCUCAUCGCCCACAAAACAACAACGCAAGGCCCCGAUCCCCUUUUCAGAAGCAUGGCUUCAUUGCUGUUCAGAUCCGCCGCAGGCAGCGCUCUCCGGCGAUCGAUCCCGCAAGGGUCCUUCCCCGUGCUCCGGCCAUCGAUCCCGCAGGGGUCCUUCUCUCGGAGCCCAGGGCGGUCCCUCUGCGAUGGCGCUGGGAGGAUCGAACCUAAUGCGCAUUCUAGCGCAAAACCCAACAUGGGACACUCCAACAGAUUCGAGGAUGAAACAGAAUUCUGCACUCAUGGUCAAACGGAAUUUAAAGAGUUGGCUUCCAACAUACGCGCCAUGCGGGACAAAGUGCGACUCUUGGAAAAAACAUAUGAAGAAUCGGAAAGAUCGGACAAGCGUAGAAAAGUGCUGGUACUGUGUUCCACAACUGCUCUCCUCGUUACCUUUUUUGUAUUUGGUUGAGAGAACAUGUCUUUUUGAAGUUUCGAUGAAAGACCGAUAUUCUAAGUUUCCAUGGGAAUUAUCUGUUGUGAAAAAAGGUUGUAGGAAGCUCAUGUAAGAUGGAACAAUGAUACAAGACGUGCGAAUUAGUUGGACCCAGCAGCCAACGGUAGCAGCCCGGAAAUGUCAGCAAAAGCGUUUUAGUUGGCUCUAACCGUGUCUUAAUAUACUUUGACUCGAAACCAUGUUGAUUUGGAUACAUAGUGUUCACGAAUCGAUAUCCAUAUUUUACACCGGCAAGGAGUGUCGUUCCCAAAUCUCUACUCCUAAUGGAGCAGUUGGUAGGAUUGCGUCCACGGUUUAUUUUCGUCUGGUUAUAUUUCGUCUGGUUUAUUUUCGUCCGGUUUAUUUUCGUCCCAUAUCCCAUCACCAUAUCUCCUCACAUUGAUUUUUUUACCCUCACAAUAAAAACUUUCCUAACUUUUCCAAAGUUUCCUAACUAGACACGUUAUAAACGGGCAUGUACCGAUAGCACGUUAUCAAUUAAUAAAAUUUUGUUUUAUGACAAUCAAUUCCAAAUCCUAAUUUUCCUAAUGCAUCGAUCUUUGCCUUUUUUAAGUAGUUAUUUUGAUAGGGAGGGUUUAGCCACGAAAAUCAUCCCUCCAUCGUCGGCUGCAUCCCUCACCCACGUCGCUGUUGCAGGAUCUUCAUCCGUCAUCCUGAGCAAUUGGGGCGGCGAUGCGGGCGAGCUUCACGAUAGUGGGGAGGACCAGGCCGCGGUGAAGGCAGGUCAUGCGCUCCUCACGCUCCACGAACGGAACCUGCGCACGAAGGCGGUAGCGCGGGGUGGCAGCCGGCAAUGAGGCGGCCGCGCUACGUGACGAGCUACGGGUCCCCCUUUGUGAUGUUUUGGCAUCGCUCCUUCAUCGCACAUCCUCAGGUUCCUCUUGCCCUUCCCUUCCUCUGUCCUCCUCUCCCAUCUCUAUGCUUUCACGUGCAUCCAGUUUUGAUUCCUCGUGUGAUAUAUACCAAACAUAGGUACGUCAAUUCACUUCCUUCCCUUCCCUUCAUCCCUCGGUCCCACGCUCGUGGCGCUGAAGUGGUGGCAACAGGCGAUGGCGGUGGUGUCGCUGAUGGCGGCGAGGACAGCAUGUGGCAGCUCCCGAAGCAUGAACACGACCGCACCUCGGGCCUGCCGUCUGCCAAGAUAUGGCUCUGGCCGAUUGACAAUGGAGGUUUGGGAUCCUUCCUCUCAGCACCCACUCCUGGAAGAAUCAGCGGUGCGCCACGCCGAUUGAACCCCGUCGAGAUCACUCGCCAAGAUUGCUAUUCUGAAGUUUAUUGUAAAGAAAGUGAAGAGUGAGACAGGAUCCGUUUAUUUUCAACCGGUUUAUUUUCAACCGGUUUAUUUCCAUCAAAUUACCCCCACCCCCACGCCCACUCACCGAAACGCGCCCAGCGAACCGAGGAGAGAUCC